rnacentral:rRNA from 1 species
AGCGAACGCUGGCGGCAGGCCUAACACAUGCAAGUCGAACGAACUCUUCGGAGUUAGUGGCGGACGGGUGAGUAACACGUGGGAACGUGCCUUUAGGUUCGGAAUAACUCAGGGAAACUUGUGCUAAUACCGAAUGUGCCCUUCGGGGGAAAGAUUUAUCGCCUUUAGAUCGGCCCGCGUCGGAUUAGCUAGUUGGUGAGGUAAAGGCUCACCAAGGCGACGAUCAGUAGCUGGUCUGAGAGGAUGAUCAGCCACAUUGGGACUGAGACACGGCCCAGACUCCUACGGGAGGCAGCAGUGGGGAAUCUUGCGCAAUGGGCGAAAGCCUGACCCAGCCAUGCCGCGUGAAUGAUGAAGGUCUUAGGAUUGUAAAAUUCUUUCACCCGGGACGAUAAUGACGGUACCCGGAGAAGAAGCCCCGGCUAACUUCGUG